rnacentral:rRNA from 1 species
UCUUGUACACACUGCCCGUCACACCAUGGGAGCGGGUUUUACCAGAAGUAGGUAGCUUAACCGCAAGGAGGGCGCUUACCACGGUAGGAUUCGUGACUGGGGUG